UUUUUUUUUUUUUUUUUUUGGGUAUUAUGACAAGCAUGUUUUUUGAUCCAAGAAAAAGUCUGUUACUUCUUAAUAUACUGAUGGAGCAUCUCAUUGGUAACUCUUAGGUGUACAAGUUGACUAGAUCAGAAUGCUUGGUAGAGUACUUGGAAAAAUGAGCAGCAGACAAGAAAAUUGGGGGGAGAGCAUAAACACAAGGUUCCAUAUCCCAACAAAGGACUAAUCUAUUGGCAACCAUGUGGAGCUGGGCAGUUGGACUUCCGGAAAAUUCCCAUAACCUGAUCUCACCUACUUAGGUAAGAAUGAAUGGCACACCUGUUUUCCUACUUCACUUUGGUUCUGACAAACUUUUGCUGGUUUUAGUUGAUUGAUUACUUGAGCCUGUUCCUCAAAUGUGUGACUGCUUCCAAUUUUUUUCCAAUAUCAUGGCCAAGUUUGUGUGCUACAGCCAAUACAGCUGGUGCUUGUUUCUUAUUGAUUCAUUGAUAAAGAAUCUUGUCAGUGCAUAAUUAUAUCUGACCUAUGUAAAAGUUUCCUUGCUGUUUUUAAGUUGACUUUAGGUAAGAUAGCUCAAAUAUUUAAAACACAAUGAAACAGAAAACAGAACACAGUGAGGUCACUGAUCCCUGAUUAGUUUCUCUUGCUGGUUUUGAGUUGACUUUCAAUCAUAUUGCUGCAAUAUUUAAAACACAAUGAAAUAGAGUACUGAAUACAGGUCAAUGAUUCCUGAUAAGUACUAUAUUCAAACAUUUAAAACAGAAUGAAAUAGGCAAGUGAGAAAUAAAAAAAUAAAAAUCUGUACAGGCAAAUGACUUCCUGAAAAAAAAAAAUGUGGGGCAUUCCGAGAAUCGAACUCGGGACCUCUCGCACCCAAAGCGAGAAUCAUACCACUAGACCAAAUGCCCACUUGUUGAUGUUUAUGUUGUUUGGUUUCUACUUAAUGUGUUGAUGGAUUCCCUUUCCCCCAUCCUCCAUCAUGAUAGUAUCUCUACCAGGACAGUGCUGAGAUGAAAAUACAAAUUAUCUCAUUUUUUUAACUUGAAACAUCUGUUAAUAUUAUAUUGUCUAUCUCAUCAUUCAAACUUUGUGGUGGCCUUUUCAGAUAUGAAGCUGAGUAGGCUCUGGAUAGCAAAAACCAGAAUAAUAAAAUUGCAAUCUAGCCAAUUAAUGGCACUAAGGACUCUGAGCUCGUGGUCAUUUUCCAUUGCUUCUUGGUUACCCAAACCAUGGAUAAACAAAGAAAUUAAGGUUGAGAUCUUUCAUGAGUUUUGGAGUUUGUAUGCUUCAAAAUAUUUUUUGCCAUCUUUUCUUUUCUUCCUAACAUUCGGCAACAGAGCUUUUUGUUAGCCUGCAGAAAAACAAAAUGAGCUGCAAGGUUGAGUCCUCUUUGUUGCCAUGACACUUAAUCAGAAUGCUCAUAUAGCUUGAUAAUUUCCUCUUGCAUCAGAUGGUGAUCUACCCUCAAAAUCUUGAGCUUCUAUGAUGCUAUUUUCAAGAGCAAUUAAAUCACAAUGUGGAUCAUCUGUAAAGCAAAAUCAUACAUCAGGAAAAUUGUAAAGAACUUCCUUUGUAUGAUUAUAAAUAUGCUUCAUUAACCCAAAGUUUGAUUUUUCUUUCUUCUUAAUUUAUUGGAAUAAUAGGCUGCUUGUAAAUAUGUGAUUUACAAGCUGACUGGGUUAGACUUCUUGGUAGAAUACUUUCAAAAUAGAUAAGCAGCUGAAGGAAAGUUAGGUAGAGAGCUCCUAAACAUGAGAUGCCACAUCCCAAGAAAGGACAGAAUCUUUUGACAACCAUGUGGAGCAGUGAAGCUGGACUUCCAGAAACUUCCUAUGACCCGAAAUCACCUACUUUGGUAAGAAAGGAUGUUCUAGUUAUGCUCUAGUUGUCAAAUUUUUCUGGUUUUAAUUGAUUGAGUACUUGAAUUUUUUUGUUCAAAUGAAUGCCUGCUUCCUUUUUUUCUAGAAUCAUGACUAAGUGUAUGUGCUUAGGUUGAGGCAGGUGAUGCUUGUUCCUUAUUAAUUCAUUGACAAAGGAUAUCAGGGCAUGCUGACUUCUGUUCUCAACAAAAUUUUCCAUUGUAGUUCUUCAGUUGACAUUAGAUCAGAUUAGCUCAAGUAUUUAAAACACAAUGAAAUUGACAACUCUACUGUAUGGGUCAAUGAAUUUUUAUUUUAUUUUUUUUUAGAAAAAGUACAGGUGAAUUAAUUCCACAUAAAAAGUGGGGCAUUCCGAGAAUCGAACUCGGGACCUCUCGCACCCAAAGCGAGAAUCAUACCACUAGACCAAAUGCCCACUUAUUGAUGUAUGUGUUGUUUUGAUUCUGAUCAAAUUUAAGGGAUCAGUCACUAUUGAUCUCCAACUGCUCCUGUUAAUUUUUAAGCGAAACUACCUUCAUCUGAAGGAGCUUACUCUUCUUGGUGCCCCACCACCUGAGAUUUAGUAUUUUGUGAUGCCAAUGUCUUUAGCAGGAUGAUGUAGAACAUGAUAAAAUUACAUCUGGAUCUCAUAUUUUGAACCCAAAACAUCUGUUGGUAUUAUAUUGCCUAUUUCAUAGGCUCAAACCCUGUGGCAUCCUUCAGAGACAAGGAGUUGAUUUGGCCCUGGAUAGCAAGAACCAGAAAAGUAAAAUUGUAUCCUAAGUUCCUAACCAAGUAAUUGCACACUCAAUUCUUUGCCCAUCUCAUCGUUUUAGUUCUUUGGUUGCCCAGAAUAUAGAGGAAAAAAGAAAUUUAUUUUGAAACCCUUUCAUUAAUUUGGAGGUUGUUCUCUUCCAAAAUAUUCCUUUUCCUUUUUUCCUGCUUAAGAUUUCUCUGCAGCCAGCACAUACUGUUUGCCUUUGGGAAACAAAGUGAGCUGGAUGGUUAGUUCUUGUUUGUUCCCAUGGCAAGAUUAACAAAAAAGCUUGCAUAGUUUGACAAUUUCCUCUUUUAUCAGAGGGUGGCAUUCAAUCAAAAUCUACUUUGCUGUAGCUUCUGCAUAACGUUUACUUUCUAAUGCUGUUCAUUGUUAGGAUGCUAUCUUCAAAUAUGAUCAAACUGGGAUGCAGACCAACUUUUAAAAAUCAGGAAAAUCAGAGAGAAUUUUCGUGGGGUCAAAGUGUGUCUCCUUGAUCCAAAGAAAAAGUAUGUUACAAAGUUAAAGUGUGUUCCUUUGACCCAAAAAUGAAGCCUAUUUACCUCCUUCUUACAAGACCGAAUUAGAAUGCUUGGUGCAGUAGUUGAAAGGAGGAGCAGCUGAGAGGAAAGUUAGGUGGAGAGCCCAAAAUCAAAAUGUGACGUCUCAAGAACAGAAUCUUUUGGCAGCUGUAUAAAGCAGUGCAGCUGGACUGUCAGAAACUUCUCACUGCCCAAAAUCAAUUGGUUAGAAGAAUAGAAGUUGUGUGAUAUUUCAAUAUUGGACUGGGGAAGAAGUUCCUGACACUAUAUAUAUAUAUAUAUAUAUAUAUAUAUAUAGUCAGCUCCACUCAAUCAUGUAUAUGCAUUUUAAAGCCAUAAGAAUCGUUUCUUCCUAAUACUGUCAUCUUUUAUCAAGGUUACUUGAUUACUUAAAUUUCACUUCAAAUGGGUGUUUCUUAUAUAAAUUCAUUAAUGAAGACUUUUGGUUGCAGGUUUUGGGUUGACCCCUUUGGUCAGAUUGCUCAAAUAUUAAAAGCAGGGAAAUGAAUUCCUGAUUAAAGUACUCUGCUCAAAUGUUUAAAAACAGAACAAAAUGGAUGAAGGUGGAGGGGCAUUCCGAGAAUCGAACUCGGGACCUCUCGCACCCAAAGCGAGAAUCAUACCACUAGACCAAAUGCCCAGUUGCCAUUGAUGAUCACAUUUACAAACUUCAGUUAACUACUAUUGUGGGUUUUGUCACUGCUAAUCUCUACUAUAUAUAUAUAUAUACUCUUUGGUUAUAGAAUUUGGAUCAUUUGCAGUGUAGAUGGAGUGAUGUUAAAGGCUCACCUAAUUGCAUCAGACAACUUUUUGAAUCAGAAAUCCUUUUCCUACACAUUUUCUUUUCUUCUUUUAUUGUUUCCUUCCUCCCAUUGAGUUGGUAAGAUGCCAUUUUCGUAGGCAAUGCACUAAUCAAGCAGUUAACACCCCCACCCCCAAUAAAAAAGAUUAAAAAAGAAAAAAAAGGACAGCCCACCAAAGAAGGAAAGAAAAGAAAAGGCCAUUUGGUUGUGAAUUGUCAACAUUGUUUGUUUUUCCUUUCCUUUCCUUUGGGUGGUUGGCUGAUGGUCAUAAUUGGCUGCUGCCGCUUGCUUCAUUGACUCAGAAUCUUCGGGAAAAAAAGAACAAAAAGGAAGUAGGAAAAUUUUGAAGGUAGGUGAUGGGUGAAUUAGAAGUUAGGCUGAAAUAUAUAAUAUAAUAUUCAUAAAAGAAAAAUGCGGGGGCAUUCCGAGAAUCGAACUCGGGACCUCUCGCACCCAAAGCGAGAAUCAUACCACUAGACCAAAUGCCCACCACUGAAGUUAUCCAAAAAGAGAUAAAAUUUUAAAGUAUAAUACCAUGGCAGCCAAUAAAGACUAAGGUUUUUAUAAUAUUCAACUACCAUCAUUUUGAGUAACUCAUCCUUAGGCAUUAUUUUUCCCUAAUAUUUCUUACACAUGAAGUUACAUUAAUUUUAUAUUUGCACGAUUGAGUACACUUGCACAUCAAUUUCACCCUUCUUUGAGGUAGGGGGCAUCCUUGUAUAAGCCUUGAGCAAGAUUAAAGUCAUGAGGUAGAACAACUUUUUAAGUUCAUGCUAGUAGACUUCUCAAGCAUCCCACCAUAGGCAACAAUAGGAGUUACAAGAGAUGACAUGAAGACCAAUUUUUUUAUUAAUAUCUAAAUUACAAAUAAAAAUGUGUCUUACGAUUGUUGUCUAAAUAAUAAAUAUAUAGAUUUUUUAAUAAAUAAAAUAACUUACAAACAAUAUGUUGAUUGAGGUUAAGUUUUACUCUCUGUCUUUAAAAUAAAUUUUACCUCAUUUAGGCAAUCUAUGUCCUUAAGACGAAUUUUGUCUCUCUUAGAUGACUUAUAUCUUUGAGACGAAUUUUGCAUGUGGCUUAGACGAUACUCCAAAUCACAUGAUGAGCAUUGCUUAGGCGAUAUAUGUCCCUUGGAUUGGACUAGAAAUGUCAUUUUUGGGGGUGGGGUUAGGCUUGGGUGUUUGAUUCAUGUCAUUGUGUCUAAAUACAAGACACAACAUACCCUUUCAUGUUGGUAACCAACUUUUUUUAUUGGGCUUGCAUGCAUGUGGGCAUAAGUCCAAGCCCAUAUUAGCUUAUAAGUCAACUCAAUACUUAUGUGAGCAUAAAAAGGGUAUAAUUUGUGUACUCACUAAAAGUCACAUGUCAAUAAAUUACCCAUUCUUAAUUGACACUUGUGUUGAGUAAAGAAAUAAUUAAAUAAAUGAUUAUCACACAUUACAAAGCACUUUUAAUAAGCAAAAAGACUUUGUCAUUAUUAAUUUCAACUAAAAGUAAAACCAUAUGUCCCAAAUGUGACAUUUAUGACAUACAAACUUUUUUCCAUGUAUCAUUUAAAUCUUGAAAUAAGAUUAUGGUAUAUAUCACAUGGGUCCACAUAAAGAAGACAAAGUCUUUCUAUAAAAUAAAAAAUAAAUAAAUUUUUUGAUAAAUUAAAAUAAUAAUAAAUAAAUAUUAUCAUUUUUAAUUUUGGAUAAUUACAAAGAUUAUUAUCAAAAUAAUGAUGUUUCUUCUUAAAAUAUUAAGGGAUGAUAUCAAAUAUGAUUUCUCAACGACCCUAAAACACUUUACACACAAGAAGAUUUGAAGAGAGCUCAAUGUCAAGUCUACAUUGAAGGUUUAAGGAUUUUUUAAGUAAAAGAUUGAAAAUUGUCAUCAAAAUUUAAAGAUUUUAAGAAUAAAUCCUAAAAGAAAUCCAUGCAGUAUGUUAUAUGAAUUUAAAAAAAUUGCAUAAAAAAAUUUACAAUUAGCUAUAAACAUGCUUCAAAUAUUCUUCUGCCAUCAUAUGAGCUUUAGAGAAAACGAUUUUCUCUUAAGUUUGUGGUUGAGAAAAAAUAGGUUUAGAGAAAAAGGAAGGAGACAAGAAUGGAUGUUUUGGGUAUUUUUAAAAUUAUAGGAUAGAUAGUUUUAAAUUUUUAAAUGGUUGUAUAAAUAGGAUAGUUUGAGAAAUGCAAAUAUAAUUUUCCUUUAUAAAUUAAUUAAAAUUAUAAUUUUUCUCGCAUCUUUCUAUUUAAGAAAAAUAUGUGUGUAAAAUAAGAUUACUUUUUUAAAAAAAUAAAAUAAAAUUAUCACAACAUUUUUUUAAUCAGAUAGAUCACUUUAAGCUCAAUUUCUUAUUCAUCCAUAAAUAAUUUUGAGCAUGUAAAGAUGCUAGUUCAUCUACCAUGACUAUUAAAGAUGUUCAACGGGGUCUUGCUUAAAUUUUAGCUUGAAGUUGUAUUUUUGUUACUUUUUUAAAACCAUUUUUUUUCCUCAAACUUAUUUUUUAUUAGAAACAAAUCUCUUUAACAUUAAAGUGGUUAUAGACUUCGAAUGAUUAGAAAAAUAUCUUCAAGCAAUUAAAAAAACAACCUUGAAUUUAAAAAGUUGAUUUGUAAGGUAAAACCACUUCCAAACGCCUAAAAUUUAUCUUCUAGGAGUGAAUGGAAUCCUCAAUAAAGUUGAUGGACCGCCUGGUCUUGGGCUCGGGCACGUGGGUUAGGUUAAUAUGGGCCAGAUGGACCCAAAUAGAAGACCUCUUGACAUGACCAAACUUUUAGGAGAAGAUAAAAGAACCCAAUAAUUAAUAUACUAUAAUUACACUAUGGUAUACCAUAUAUUAUUAUUCAGGCUGAAAUUGAUUCCCUCACCUAUUGGUGAUCUACCUAUGUCACUGACCCACUAGUGAUUUGUCCAACAAUUCAUGAUCAUUUAUCAAAUGGACUACUUUCAUGAUGCACCCUUGAUUCAAGAUUAAUCUCAUCCUAUUCAUAUGAUGAAGAAAUUAAUCCAAUUAAAUGAAAAGAAAAAAAAAAAAAGGAAGAAAAGGAAAAGAAAGCAAGCAUGCCAUGAUGGGAAAAUAUGCUUGUAAUCAACACUUGGCUCCACCACCUUUCAUUAAAGGAAAUAAUAAAAUAAAUAAAUAAAAGGUCAUUCUCAAUGAUUUGUUUACAUCUCACCACCCUUCUUCCAUCUUACUUUGAAUUAAUUUUUCCCUCUUUGUUUUUUUCUCUUUGUUAUCAUAUUACUUUUCAUGAAAAAAAGAAAUAUAUUAUUUGUGGCAAUGAUGAAUUAAUAAUAAUAAUAAUAAUAAUACAAACUUAACUUGACAAAUGAUUUAAACCAAGCUAGCCCCUAGACCUUCCUUAUCCAAUGAAACCCUUUAGUUGACACUUUUAAUACCAUAUUAAGUAAUCAAUUUUGUAAAGAACAAGUAAAUAUAUAUUAGCUUGUAUUUGAACUGGCUUAUAAGAAAUCAAAAAAUGUUUUUUUUAUAUUAAGGUUUCUAUGCAUAUUUGGUUAAUUUAUGGUUUUAAAAAAAACUUAAUGGGAAAAUUAGAAAAAUGUUGUUUCUUAUAAAAAUUUUAUUUUGACUAAUAUAAGUUCUUUUAUAUUUAAUAAAACUUUUAUAAUACUAAAAUUGUCUUUUCAAAAUUAUGACUUUGGUUUCAAUUUAAAAAAAAAAAAGAUUGAUUUCAUACACUCAUAUGAAAAAAAAACAAAAAAACAAAACAUAAGAACCCAAAUUUAGAAAAUACAAAUUUAAAGUAGUUAUUUAAAAAUAAUUAGUAUUUUAUAUACUUUUUUUUUUUCAAAAAUACUAUCUUUGAUAAUUCAGGUACUAACUUUUAAUAAUAUACAUACUAUAUUUGAUUAUUUUAACUACUAUAUUUGACCGAUGAGUACAUGAAACUUAAAUUAUUUUUAAAAUAUUAAUAUUUUGUAAUUAUAUUGUUAACACUCGUACUUUUACUUCUACUUUCAUUUUCUCCUUUGGUUUGAUAAAUGAGGUCAUUUAAACCCAUUUUAAUACAUUAUGUAGCAUAUUCAUGAGUAUACCUCAUCAAUAUAGAGUAGUAUUUGUUUUUCCUUACUUUUUCUUUGAUUUUGGUUUUUUUCUCCUGCAUUAAUUUAUCUAUACGUAAAUAUAGUAUGUAUGCAUGGCAUCGGAACAUUGCUUAAAGUUGGGAUAAAAUGAUUUGAAAGUAGCCAUAAUUCCCAUCAAUUAUGCAUCAAUAUUAUUGCUUUAUGGUACCCUCAAUUACAAUGGCAGCCCACACAUGUCUCUCGCUUUUCCACUGCUUUUUAUCUCCUCCUCCCGUUCCUCCGUUUCUAUGCAUAUUAAUGGAGGGGUAGGACACAGAGAAAGAAAGCAAGAGAGAGAAGCAGAUCAAAGAAAAAAAACAAAGAUCUCUUCCUCUUCCUCUUCCUAGCUAAGGGAAGGUGUUGGAAGCCAUGGCCUUUGCAGGAACCACCCAGAAAUGCAUGGCCUGCGAGAAGACCGUGUAUCUGGUUGAUCGGCUGACCGCCGAUAAUCGAAUUUAUCACAAGGCCUGCUUCCGAUGCCACCAUUGUAGAGGUACCCUCAAGGUGAUUUCAUCCUUUCUACAUUCAAAUCAACCUCCUUUUCCUUUCAUUUUCUUUCUGGUUGUAAAGGUCACAACCCCUUUUCUUCAUUUGGCAGCUCGGUAACUACAACUCGUUCGAGGGAGUUCUGUAUUGCAGGCCUCACUUUGAUCAACUCUUCAAGAGAACUGGCAGCCUAGACAAGAGUUUUGAAGGUGAAAACAUAGGAUUCAAGUGCCAGAUCUCUAGGCCUUUUUUCCAAGUACUCAGAUAACUUAAAUCUCCCCACAUUUUUUUCCUUUAUUUUCCUGCAGGAACCCCGAAGAUCGUGAAACCAGAAAAAACAACUGAUCAUAGUGAGGUAAUCUCCUAGAAUCCAUUUUCUUGUGAUUCAGCAAAAUACUUCCAAACAUGGAUUCUCGCAUAUGUCUCUACAAAUCCCAAACAGUUAGCCAUGGACGUUUUAUAAUCUCCAUUGAGUCUCUUCAACACAAUGGUUCCUACAUGAUACUAUAAUAAACUCCUAACUCAAACAUGGAAUGGUUUCCCAACAGAAUGCUGCUACGAACAAAGUCUCGAACAUGUUUGUGGGCACCAAAGAUAAAUGUGUGGGGUGCAAUAAAACCGCUUAUCCGCUUGAAAAGGUAACAACAGUCCACCAUCGAAUUUGAUUUUGUUCUGAAGAUUUCGGUACACUGACAGUUUCCUUGGAAAGUUUCUGAAAAAGAAUCAGUUUCAUAGCUUUGUUUUUCAAAACAUGAAGCCUAAGAUAAUGAUGUUGUAAUGAAGGUCACGGUUAAUGGAACUCCAUACCAUAAGAGCUGUUUCAAAUGCACCUAUGGAGGAUGUACUAUAAGCCCAUCCAACUACAUUGCACAUGAGGGAAAGCUCUACUGCAAGCACCACCAUAUCCAACUCUUCAAGGAGAAAGGCAACUACAGUCAGCUUGAGAGUGACAACGAAAAGGAUUCGGUUUCCGGUAUUCAAGUUGCUGCUGAAUCAUGAUCCAUGGAAGUAGAUUUUCUCCUCAUUCCAUCUCCCUCUUCUUCUGGUUUUUCCCAGUCUCCAUGUUGCUGUGGUGUCUACAGAGUUUUCUUUUUCUUGUUUUUAUACCAAAUAGUUGGUAAUGGAUUUUUGGCUUGUAAGAAGAGAUCUGUGUAUGCCUAGUACUCAUAAAAUUUGUGGAACCUCUGGCUUGUAAGUGGUUUAUCGUGGGAGAUUUGUGGGAGUUGAUACAUGAUGUGCUAUGGCUUGUUUCAACAUUUGAAUGAAAUACGAAAUUUUUAUGGCUUGAAAUUCUGCUACUUAUUUUGGUUUUCUUGUUGAACGAGUUUUUCUGUUUUCCCUUCGCUGAGUAUUUCAGAUUGAUUUUGGGUAUCAAUGAAUGCACGUUAUGUUCCAUGAGCUCACUCCAAGCUCAAGUUGGAGCCAUUCAGACUGUACCCUUAGCACCAAACGCAAAACUCACAAAACCCUAAACAAGUGCUAAGUCCACAAUAUGGGACUUGCCCAAGACAACAUCUUAUUAUGUGUAAUAUCUCGCUGGACAACCACCAUGUCUAUGUUCUUUCCCAUAGAAAGUGUGUAUCCACUUAAUAACAGAACGACUUCCUCUUUCUCUUUGAACAAUAUAGAGAGAAACAACUAAAACAAAUAAGAAAAAGGGAAACCUCAUUGUCCAUAUAAAAUUCUGGUAAGAACCAAUUCAUUGAAAUAGAAAAUUUAGGAAGAACAGAAUUCAAAUUUGGCUGCAGAAGACAAGCUUGAAUUAGGUAGAGACAAUAAAAUUUUUCAGGAUAUCGCCAUUGUUACAGAAGGUUAUAUUUCCAACAUGGUUCGUGGGCAUACCACCAGAAAAUAUCAUCUUCACAAGCAUACCAUCCGAAGUGAUAUAAAUGGUAAUUGCAUCCAUCUAGUGGUAGAACAAUGCAGUGGUGGAAAAAAAAAAAAAAACAUAAAAUAAAUAAAUAAAUAAAUAAAAUAAAAAAUUGAAGAGAGAGCACUAUAACAUAACACCCAUUGGUAUCAGGGCACUGAGAAGCCUAGUCUAAAGCCUUUGCAAUUAAAGUAUCACUGUACAACAUAGAAACAAUUGAUAAAUACAUACAUUGUUCCAGGGAUUGAACCAUAACCUAUUCUUAAGCAUUGGGUUUACAAGACAAAGGUGAUACUGCACAGAUUUUCUACAUUACCCUAUUUUCUGUUUUGUGUUUUUUUUUCCCUCCUUUUUCUGGAAUUAGCUGCACAACUUUCCAUAUAUAAAUAAAGCACAGAUUUUCAAUCAUUUUCUCCUUUCCUAGUUGCCUUUCACAAGACCAUCACAAACCAAUAGAACCACCAACUAUGCCUUUCACAAGACCAUAACUGGAACUUCUUUUGAUUGUGCUGUCCUUCAACACCUGAACUGCAAAUAUAAGAAGUUCUACCAUCUCAAAUCCUGCAGCACAUACGGAGUCUAUUUUCUCACUGCUGGAAUCCCCAUGAAAACAGCCUGGCGCAUUGUCCAUACUUUCACCAAAUGAUUCCCCAUCUGCCUCUGCUGACCAACUAACUGGAAGAGAACUGCCAAGAGCAGUCUUUACAAGUUUUGCUUCAUUAAUAAUGUCAUCCAGUGCUUCUAACACGCUAGAAACUGUGCCUCCAGAUGUAACUGACUCUUUAGCCUACAGAGCAGAUAAUAGUAGAAAUACAGAACCUAUCAAUUUCAAGCAUAAGAACAAUGUUCCUACAAGGAACCUGAUUUUUUACUGAAUGCUCAGAAACAUUUCAACUAGAAGAUAGAAGAAAAAGAUGCCCAAAGCAGCACGACACUACAACUUCCAUCAUGGAAGGGUAUGGUAGGUCUGACGUUUGUAGUUGAUGUUCUUAAUUAUGAAAUAUUUAGCCACUCCUAUGACCUGCCCAUUCCCCCUCUAUCCUAACUAACAACAUAUCCCCUGCUCCAGAUAUAAAAACUUCUGUUCAAUUGAAAGUGUAAAAAGAAUAACCUCUAGAAGUGUGAGACGAAGCCUACGAAUCGAAGAGGUCAGAUGCUCAAUGCUUUCCAUGCUUUCCUUUAGGGUUGCAUUUUCAAUCUUCAUUCUGGAAAGAAAAAAGGAAAACAUAAAAGUUAAAAACAUAUAUAUAUAUAUAUAUAUAUAUAGAGAGAGAGAGAGAGAGAGAGAGAGAGAGAACAAUCAAGUUUUAUAAAUGCUUUUCUUUAUGAUAGAUCAGUGGAGAAAAAAGGGGAUAUGUUUCCCAUGCAUAAGAAAUGCCUAUAUACUGUAUGCAUCAAGCGCUAUAAGCAUUUUCCAAGACCUGGCAAAAUCCAUGCUAUAAUUGGACUUUCUACCAGAGAAAUUCCCUUCACUAUUCAGGUGAGCUUCAGCUUGAUUUCCACUGUAAUCUAAGGCACCGAUCCAGCGUCUCAGGUACGUUUUCUUCAGCAGGUUUUUCAAUUUUCCAUCUCUUUCAAGAGUAGCAUUUCUUUUUUCCCCAAUGUCAGCUAAAAAAUUUCCCUGUUUCAUGUCAUGACUGAUCUUCCUGCACAUAUUUCCAUAUUCCAGUUAAAUUUAUUUUCAAUAUUUCAUUGAACAAAACUCACAUAAUGCAGAAGGUGUAAAAACUUUCAAAAGGCAGAACUUCACAAGGAACAAGAAAUAGAGUAAAGCCUAAUAAUGAGAAAAUGCAGAAGCAACUGUUUGGAAUAAUUCAUUAUCCAAAUUAUAUUAAGUAAUUCCUCACUAAAUCAUGUCUUGCAAAAAGUGUGAAAAUUUUUCAAACAGGAGGUGUUAGCCCAAGGAUUCUCCUAAGCGUGUUUUGAUGAUAACAAAACAAGGUUAAGUAAGCUAAUAGGUUCAAAUCAAGUUUCAGGUUAUAAACAAGAAAAUCAAAAGAAGAGGUCAAGUCAAAUUGAAAGAUCUCAAAGAAAGGGAAAUCAAGGAUACAUGAAGACCAAUCAAAAUUUAGAAAAUCAACGUAAGAUGAAUCCUUUGGGUGCACUUAGGAUUUAAACUUUUUACAUGCAUUUCUUCAAUACUUAGUUUCAUUGAAAACUUGCUUAAACGCUUAUAAUUUGUUUGAAACUAAGAAAUCAUCCAAACACCUAAAGCAAAUCUUUUCAAAAUUGAGCUACAAAGUCACUUAGAGACAUUGCCUAAGUAUUAGAAAGCUUUUGGAAAGAAAAAGGAAGGUUUUAGGCCUGUUUUGGUCCAACCGGUCAAGGGGGACCUGAACCAGCUCAACUGGUUGGGAAUCGGUCAAACUGGUUGCCUUUUUCCGGUCAAGUUUUGGUUCAGGUUGCACAAAAUUUUCUCUCUUUCAGAGGGCUUGCAUUCCCAAUCUAAGCUGCCCUUUUCCUAGUCGAGGCCUGGUCAAACCUCAGAAAGGACAAACGGUCACCUGUUGUGCAUUUAUUACUCAACGAUGUCAACUAGUCAAACUGGAGCUCUAUCCGUCGAGACUAGUUUGUGCUUUUUGGGGUGUCCAAGGUUGGAAACCUAUAAAUAGAGAACUCUUAUGUAUUUAUUGAGAAGAGAAUACUUGCGUUGAAUUCUUUAUCUACCAUUUUCUAUCAUUCAAAUCUCUCAUUCCUUUGUGCAUUAAUCAUUCACUUACAAAUCAUUCUUAGUGCACCCCCUGUAUCCAUCCUAGCCUUCUUCAUACUUGUUCAUUUAUUGAGCUAGGAUUAAGAGAGGUUAAACCUUCAUCAUUUUGAGAAAGAUUGAGUGUUGAAGCUUCAAGUUGGGUUUGAAUUUGAAGAGAAUUGUAAGAGCCCAUUGAAGCCUUGAAUGCAAUUGUAUCGCUUGAAAGCUUGGGUUGAAAGCUUCAGUUUAAUGGAACCUUCACUUGGAAGAAAAUUGAGGAAGUGGACAUAGGUGGGAUUUGCUGAACCAUUAUAAAACCAAGUUUGCAUCUCUCUCUCCCUCCCUCCCUCUUUCAUUAUGCUAUUAAUUGUUUAAUUGAAGGUGUUCAUCAAAAAAGUUUCAAAACCCAAUUCCCCACGUUUUUGGAGAAGUUCUUAAGACAAGGAGAUUGAAAUGGUUGUUCAAUGUAUGAACUCUAUGGUGGCAAGCAAGAACUGCCUGGAUAAAUAGGUGUGCACGCCAGCAGGAAUGAUAACUUUCCUGUUUGAUUUUUUUCCUCUGGAGUCCAAUGUUACCUUCUCCUUAUCAGAUAAGGAGAUUUAGAGACGUUUGCUACCUUCUCAAGUCAAUUUCUUCACUUGAGGAGGCAGUUAGUCAGAAAAUCUUAACAAUGGAUCAGAUUGAGCAGAGGGAUUGAUCUAAAGUGAGUGGAUGCUGCCUUGCAAACAGAAAGAAGAAUCAGUGAACCAUUUGCUCAUCCAUUGACAAGCAGUUCGUGGACCUUCAUUUUCACUCUGCUCAGGAUGGAUAAGGUGCUGCCCCAUUCUUUAAAGCAGUUGUGGCUAGGUUGGCAUGGAAGUUCUGUUAGGAGGAUCUCAAGGAGGAAUUGGAGUCUUGCCCAUCUGUUUAAUCUCAUAUGGAAGAUGCAACUUCUUCCAAGAUGCCAAUCCUUACCUAAAUCUCUCCUUUAUUACAUAUCCCAAAUUUUAAUGCACUAGUAAGAUGCUCCCAAAGGCAAACCUAAAUUUUUAGUGGGAAGUUGAUCCACUGUACACCUAAAACUCAAAUCCAACUGCUCAACCUACUCUUACUAGGCCCACUAGAAAAAGCUCACUAUUUUCCAAAUUUAUUUUUAAACCUGAGACAGCUUUAAAACAAAACAACACCCAUCUCAAGUAUAACAAUUGCUCACUACUAGCCUUGCAAAAAAGAAGGGAGUCAUCCACGAACAGGAUAUGCAAGAUCAGAACCCCACCCCCAUCCUUUCCUCCUACCUUGAAGCCAUUAUGGUCCAUAAUGCAACUCAACACCUCCAUCCCCAACUUGAAUAAAUAGGGAGAGGGUGAUGAAUAAAGAGUGAGAGAGUGGAUCAUCUUGUCUCAAGCCUCUUGAGUUAUGGAAGAAACCAGUUGGUGUCCCAUUCACUAACACUGAAACAUGAAAUGUUGAAAUACAGAAUUUAAUCCAAUCAAAUACAGUUUUAGCAGAAAUUCAUACUACUUAUCACUGAAAUAGGAAGUUCCAGCUCACGUGAUCAUGAACCUUCUCCAUAUCCAAUUUGCAAGGCACCCAUGCUCUCAAACUUUUGAGUCUAGAGUUUCAAUGGACAUAAGCUGCAUUCAAAACUAGCCUACUCUCAACAAAAGGAAUUUCAGGACUCAAUCCUAAUCUUGCCAAUAACUGUCUUAAGCCUAUUUGCAAUACUUUUUGCCAAAAGCUUGUACACUCCACCACUGAACUGAUAGGACAAAAGCCAUUAAUACCCUUCACUCUUUCCUUUCAGGAGCAAGACCAACAACGCCGCAUUAAGGGUUCUCUGGAAAAAACCAAAACAACAGAAUUCAUAGAAACAGCUUAUAACUUCAUUUCCAACUGUAGCCCAACAAAGUUGCCAAAAGGCAAUUCUGAAACCAUUUGGCCUAGGAGUUUUAUCGCCCCUAAGUCCAAAAGUGCCACCAAAAUAUCCUCUUCACUGAGAGCUCUCUCCAAGAUCCAACCCCAUUAUCCCUCCAUCUAACUGCUUGAAACCAGCUCUCUACAAACCAGAGUGUUUGUCUCCUGAAUCAGGAUACAAAUGGUGAAAGAAAUUGACUAUCUCCCUUUUAAAAUCGAAUUCCCCCUCCAAGAACUCCGUGAAAUUAGAUGGUUUUCAGUGUUAAAAUGAGCAAAUAAAAACAUUUGCUGCAGCUGUUGCCCCUUCUAUGGAUAUCAUGUAGACAGGUAUCUGCAGUCCAUCAAUGGACCACGUACACAAAGCAGAGCGUAUGCUAACACCAAAAUGUUUAACCAUAGCACAAAACCCACAAUUUAAAACACAGGUGAAGCCGUGAAGGUCCAAAUUUCACAAUUAUACUGUUCUGUAUGUUCAUAAAACAGGAAAGCCAAGAUGCGUCCACUUCAUGUCCUAUCAAUGUCAAACAAGCAAUGGCCACAUGUAAAAAUUCAUUUAAAUACUAGAAAUACCCAAGACACGUGCAAGAUGCAUUUAAGCAGUCUGUGUCCAACACAUGCCAAUCACAGACUGCUACCUUGAUAAAUAUGCCUGGUAUGUAUUACGUUGGGUCAUUUGACACUGCUUUAAUAAUCAAAGAGUGAAGUCUAGAAUGUUCAGUUUCCUUCUUUUCAACUCUCAUAUUACAUCAGUAUGAUGUUAAUAAUUUUAUUCAAAUCCUACCGCAGUUUCAUCUUUUCCUUUCCCCUUUUUGUUUGCUUGUACAUUGUGACAACUUUAUUAAGAAUUGAAGAUUGAAUUUUUAUUUAACUAUUGGUAAUUUCUCUUUUGUAUCCUAAUUUUGCACAAUAAGUUGCAUGACAGUUUUAAGUGGCCAAAUUUGCCACAGGCCUAGUUAUGGCCAUUGCCCAGGCUUGCCUUGGAGUUUUGCCAUUUUGUGUGGACCUAAACCAUAAUAGCAUUGGAAUAAUAAAUGGGUUUCAUGCUAAGAAAAGUUCUGAUAUAAACACCCAAUUUUACAACUGAGUCAUAUGAUUUGGACCAUCUUCUUGAACCAUGCAGGGAUGCAUUAAUCAAACCCAAGGCACACUUUACACAGUUUGAGCCUCUAAAAAUUCAAACUUUAAGGUGUUUUCCAGAUUUGGAUUCAAAGCAAAAUCAUGAGAAUAAGGCUUCUUCCUGCCAAGUACCUACACACUACUGCUAAUGAUGGUUGUUACUAAAAAUAUGUUCAAGAUUGAAGUUGAACGUGAACAGAUGUCAGGAGCCAGCAACCCCACUAUCUAAACUUCUGCUUACCCUACUUCCCAUCUACAAAUUUAUUAUCCCAUCCUCAAGGUUCAUCAUCACCGGAAUGCUGACAAGAUCUAAACCAGAUAGGAACUAUAUUAAUCUAAGACAGUUUCAAAAUCAAUCCUCAGUUCACUAACUACUCUGACAAGCUUUUAUAAUAUUUGACAGACAAUUUGGUUAUUUUCGGUUCAUCAAGACCACAAGACAAAGGGUCCCUGUUCAAGCCAUUGACAUGGUGCAAGCUUUGACACUGGAACUGCUAGAAACCGCAAAAUUUACAAGUCUCCCUUACUAGAAAACAAAGGCACUCGAAAACACAAGUAAACAUAUAAGAUAUUAUUUAUUUUGUAUAAGAACAUUGAUAUUUAUAUUCAGAAAGAUAAGAAAAAAUCAUACUCUUGUAGUAGUUGAUAUUCCUGCUUCAAUUGUGCCAACUCCAUAAGAGCUUUUACCUUUUCAUUGGUAACCUGAACAAACAAAAUAUUUGCUCAACCCAUUAACCACUCCAGUAAAGAAAAUAAUUAGAAGCCAAAUAUCAAGCUGCAUAGAGCACUGCUCAAGACCGAAAAGAGAAGAUAUUUUGCCUUUGAAUAAGGACACCAAAGAAGCAUACAUAGAGAUAAUAGCACCAUCUACAGGUGGCAAUAAAUAGCAGUUUACUCAGCUAGUUCAUUCUUGAUUAGAAGCUGAUCCACUUAAACCAUACCCAACCAAAUAAUUGGGUUAAGAGUACUAAUGAACUAACCAUAUUAAGAUACACCACUUUUUAUGAUAAUACAGGCUGUGUUAUUAUUUUUAGUUUGUUGUUCUGUCAAAUUUUUUUCAUGCUUACAGAAAUAUUAAAAAAUUAAAUAUUUCUUAUUAAAACCUAAAACCUAAGGAUCUAGUACUGAUGAGGGUGCAGGACCAACAAUUGAAUUGCUUGAACCAUAAACCCUGAAUCAUGGAGAUAAAAGGGUAGGGUAUUGCUAUAUUAACACUCAUCUAGAACCAGACAGAUGACAGUGCUAAGCACAUUAAACAAGUUGAAAAUUACAGGGCCAGGAUGUCAGAAAGGAGUAAAUUGGUGCAAGGUAUCCUUUGCAGAGGAAAUACUCAAAAAGGUUAAUAACUUCAUUACAAUGAAUUUCUUUUGUGCAGGUGCCCAGAUAUAAGCACAAAUUUCAGUUAAAUUUGGAAAUUUUAGCACAUCCAUGUCGUGAGUCUGCAAGCAGUAAGGGUGGUAAAAUUACCAUGAGCAGAGGAAAAAAAAGAUAUGAUUCCCAGUAAAAUCAUUUUAUAAUUCCUUACAUGAGGAGAAUUUAGAGAAAUUUGGGGUACCCCAUUUAGAACUUUUUGUUCUUUUUUCUUUUUUUUUUCUUUUUUGGCCUGGGAGGUGGUACAGUGUGAGAGGCAAGGACAGAUAAUGGUGAACAGAUGCAAUAUUUGUAGAGUAAGUGAUGAAUCACAAAAUGACAUCCAGAAAAUUGCAGGACAUAAUGAUAGAAAUUUUAAGAUGCAUUAAGUCUUUCCUAUUACAGGGAUGGAAGUUUAUGUGAAUGGAUAAGAGGAAGGUACAGAGAAUGUCUCCCCCUUGCCUGUUUUGGUGCAUAUGGAGAGGGCAUAAUGAUCAAAUCUUUGAUGAGGAAAAGCUUCCUGAUCAAAAAUUGAAUGAGAACCUUGUUAAAUCCUUUUUGGGGCAGUCUGGAGCACCACUGGGUAUAGACAAAUAUACAUUUUGGGACUUGUUAGAUAGCCCUAAAUUGUGGAUAAUUGGUUUGAGGCUUUGAGCUAGACUGUUUCAAUUAGGUGCUUCUGUUUUUUCUUUUCUUUUUAUUAGUGCCUUUCUAUACCCCUUUGUGUACAUAGGAUCCAAUCACUCUUCGUUAGGGCUAUUUAAUAAAUUCUCUCUUUGCCUAUCAAAAAAACCAGAGAGAAAGAGAGAGAGAGAAGGAAGGACCCCACCCCCAAGGGUUCCCUCAACCAAACAUACAAAAAUUUGACAAAUAUAUUUUUCAGAUCCUCUAAGAGCACAAACUUUCAAAGAUUCUUCUACUGCUCCUUCCAUAAACACCAAAUGCACACUCAAAAAGGGAAUCCUCCCUACUUCUACUCUUACUUUCGCUCACUCAAGUAGUGUGCUGAGAAGACUCCAGAGGUCAAAAAUAGCAAUUACUGGAGAUCCCAAGCCCCAACAAUGCAUGAGCAAGCAACUAAUAGUGACUCAUCCUUACACCAGCAUAUGCAACACCAAUUCUCAAGAAUCCUCCCCUUCUCAUGAGCUGGUCAAUGGUGAGGAUCUUCUCCCAAACAACCUCCCAUAUGAAGAAACCAAACCUAGAUGGUGUAUUUUGAUUCCAUGCUAGCCAUAUGGGAAAGAUAUAAUGGCUCUAGACAGAAGUGUCUCAUAUAAGGAGUUAACUGAAAAAUAACCACUAUUU
rnacentral:lncRNA from 1 species